rnacentral:tRNA from 1 species
GCCCAAAUAGCUCAGUUGGUAGAGCAAUGGACUGAAGAUCCAUGUGUCGAUGGUUCAAUUCCAUCUUUGGGCA